CCUUCGAUAGCUCAGUUGGUAGAGCGGUGGACUGUAGAGGAAUUUAAAUUGUUGAAAUCCAUAGGUCGCUGGUUCAAAUCCGGCUCGAAGGA
rnacentral:tRNA from 1 species